UUUUACUCUCUGUUUUCAGGAGGCUUAUGAAUUACCCAAUCUGCUUUAAAAAAAAAAAGAGGUGCUGAAGAUGUAUCUACAGAGGCAGACUGAUGACUCAGCCAAGUUUCAGAGGAGGUAAGCUGCCCUCUGCUGGAUGACCGUUCAGGACAUGCAGGCUGCUAUGAAGGAACCGUGCACAGCCCACAGGGUUGAAACCAGUGACUUCCCUAAAGGGCCAUGGAGCAGUGGACCAUAUUGGAUGGCUUCCUGGAACUGAAUAUUGGUAACAGAAACCAACACUGGAUGACUUAUGUACAAAAAGGACUUUGCUUUGCUGUUGCUUGUAGGAAUGCUCUCAGAUCUGAUGGAAAGGACAGGCCCUAACCAACUGACUGGUGUCUUUGUUAAGACGAGGAAAUUUGGACACACAAAAAGCUUCCAGGGAGCUGUGCACAGAGAAAAGGCCACGUGAGGACACGGCAAGAAGGCAGCCACUUGCAAGUCAAGGAGGGAGGCCUCAGAAGAAACCAAACCUAACAACAGCUUGGUCUUCGACGUCUAGCUUCCAGAACUGUGAGGAAAUACAUUUCUGUUGUUUAAGCCACCCAGUCUUGAAUAUUGUAUUAUGGCAGCCCUAGCAAACUAACACACCCUCUUAGGAAGAUAGUGACCUAUUGUCUGUCAUGAGUAUUUUGACCAGGGUUGUACUGGGUCUGUGGAUUGCUUUGGGCAGUGUGGCCAUUUUGAUAGUGUUGAUUCUUCCAAUCCAAGAGCACAAGAAAUCUUUCCAUGUCUUUGUGUCAUUUAGGUUGAGUAUAGGUAACCUCCUUGGUUAAGUUUAUUUCUAGGUAUUUUGAUAUUUUUGAGGUAAUGGAAGUGUUUAUGCUGGUUAUAAAAUUCCGGUUUUUGAAGUGAAAAAAAAUGAAUAAAGGGCCACAAAAGGCAAAAUAUCCAUCUUUCUUAUGGGUGACUUGUAUCUUCUUUAUCCAUUCAACUACUGACGUGCACUUAGGAUGCUUCCAUAUCUUGGCAAUUAUAAAUAAUGUUGCUGUUAAUAGCAGGGUGUAUGUAUCUUUUUGAAUUAAUUCUUAUUUUGUGGUUGGCUUUAUUCUUUUGAUAACUAUGUAAUUUAAAAAGCUUAAGCUCUAAACAUUCUUAGAAACAAUGAACAGUACAUAUAUGUAAAUUAAAAAUAUAUGUGCAGUAAAAAAAAAAAA